GGAUAGUGUCUGGAAACGGACAGUAAUACCGCAUAAAAUAUAUUUGCCGCAUGACAGAUAUAUCAAAACUGAGGUGCCGAGGGAUGGGCUCGCGUUGGAUUAGAUAGUUGGUGGGGUAACGGCCUACCAAGUCAACGAUCCAUAGCCGGACUGAGAGGUUGAACGGCCACAUUGGGACUGAGACACGGCCCAGACUCCUACGGGAGGCAGCAGUGGGGAAUAUUGCACAAUGGGGGGAACCCUGAUGCAGCAACGCCGCGUGAAGGAAGACGGUUUUCGGAUUGUAAACUUCUGUUCUUAGUGAAGAAGAAUGACGGUAGCUAAGGAGCAAGCCACGGCUAACUACGUGCCAGCAGCCGCGGUAAUACGUAGGUGGCAAGCGUUGUCCGGAAUUACUGGGUGUAAAGGGAGCGCAGGCGGGAAGCCAAGUCAGCUGUGAAAACUACGGGCUUAACUUGUAGACUGCAGUUGAAACUGGUUUUCUUGAGUGAAGUAGAGGUUGGCGGAAUUCCGAGUGUAGCGGUGAAAUGCGUAGAUAUUCGGAGGAACACCGGUGGCGAAGGCGGCCAACUGGGCUUUAACUGACGCUGAGGCUCGAAAGUGUGGGGAGCAAACAGGAUUAGAUACCCUGGUAGUCCACACUGUAAACG
rnacentral:rRNA from 1 species